GCCUGGGUGGCUCAGUGGUUGAGCAUCUGUCUUCGGCUCAGGUCGUGAUCCCGGGGUCCUAGGAUCGAGUCCUACAUCGGGCU
rfam:Canis lupus familiaris chromosome 24, whole genome shotgun sequence.